GACGAACGCUGGCGGCGUGCCUAAUACAUGCAAGUCGAGCGAAUGGAAGGGAGCUUGCUCCCUGAAGCUAGCGGCGGACGGGUGAGUAACACGUGGGCAACCUGCCUGUAAGACUGGGAUGACUUCGGGAAACCGGAGCUAAUACCGGAUACGUUCUUUCCUCGCAUGAGGAAAGAUGGAAAGAUGGUUUCGGCUAUCACUUACAGAUGGGCCCGCGGCGCAUUAGCUAGUUGGUGGGGUAAUGGCCUACCAAGGCGACGAUGCGUAGCCGACCUGAGAGGGUGAUCGGCCACACUGGGACUGAGACACGGCCCAGACUCCUACGGGAGGCAGCAGUAGGGAAUCUUCCGCAAUGGACGAAAGUCUGACGGAGCAACGCCGCGUGAGCGAAGAAGGCCUUCGGGUCGUAAAGCUCUGUUGUCAGGGAAGAACAAGUGCCAGAGUAACUGCUGGCACCUUGACGGUACCUGACCAGAAAGCCACGGCUGACUACGUGCCAGCCGCCGCAGUAACAC
rnacentral:rRNA from 1 species